CCAAGGCAAGUUCACUGCUGAGUGGGAUGUCCCUUUGUAGUGACAGAGAGCAGAGCUGGUGCUUGUGAACUUCAGUCCAUUGCUCUGAACUCACAGAGAGGUCCUAAGGGCUAUGAUAUGGGCUCUGACCCAGUGGAAUGACUCAGCCCAGCAGAGUACUAUGCCCUCAUCACCCUCGCUGAAAACUGGAAGAUGCUAUGCUUCUCAUGUGCUAGCUACACAGUGUCAUGGCUUACCCAGUACAUGUUCAAGCAGUGAGCGGCCCUAGCUUGAUGCUCCAGGGGGCCUGGUACAUGGGCUAUCCAUCAGUGUAGUCAUCAUAGUUUAAGACUAUGGGGGUGCAGACAAGGAAGGCUAACUCCCAGGCACUUCCUGCUUCUGUCUGUGAAUGUCAGUAUUCUGGGUUUGGUCAUGGGAGGACAACAGCAUUGGGAAUGGGGGUUAAAAUGAUCCAGGACAUCUGGGCAGAGCAUAUAUAUUCCUGUACAGCAGUAGACAUCACAAGCAUCCUUUUGUUUUGUUUUGUUUGUAAAAAGAUUUAUUUAUUUACUUUAUGUAUAUGAGUACACUGUCGCUGUCUUCAUACACACCAGAAGAGGGCAUCAGAUUUCCUUACAGAUGGUGGUGAGCCACCAUGUGGUUGCUGGGAUUUGAACUCAGGACCUUCGGAAGAGCAGUCAGAGCUCUUAACCGCUGAGCCAUCUUUCCAGCCCGCAAGCAUCCUUUAAAACCCUAUUUUAUUUUAUGCAUAUAAAUCUUUUGCCUGCAUGUAUGUCUGUGUACCACAUACUUACCUGAUGAUGUAUGCGGAGGUUAGAAGAGGGUACUGGAUCCUUUGGAACUGGAGUUACAGAUGGCUAUGAGUCACCAUUAGGAUGCUAGGAAUUGAACCUGGGCCCUCUGGAAGAGCAGCCAGUGGUCUUAACAGCUGGGUCACCUCUCUAGCACCACAGCUCAUGCAUCCUUAUGGACCUUGCAGAUUCCAAACUGGCACUCACCCCAGAUGUCAUGUGUAUCUCCUUCAGGUGGGUGCGUGGCUUGUUUCUCUCUUUUCUUUUUUUUUGAGGUUAUAAUAUAAUUACAUUAUUUCCUCCUUUUCACCCUAUUCUCCAAUCCCUUCCAUGUGCAGCUCCCCUCUUUCCAUUCAGAUUCUUUUUCUUUAAUAUUGUGUGUGUUCCUAAAUUACCAAAUGCAACCUGCUCAGUCUGUGACUGUUACUUAUAUGUAUGUUUUCAGGCUGACCUUGCGGUAUUGGAUAAGUGGUUGGAUUCCUUGGUUGCCUUAGCUCUUUGUCUACCUACAGUCUUGGUGUAGAAUUGAGGCCUCCGGAACUCCCCUCACCACAUUCUCAUGUCUUCUGGUGUCAGCCCUGGUCAGCUCCUAUUUAGGCAGCCAUGUUGGUGAGAGUUCACGGGUGUAGCAGCUGACACUUUUAGGAGUCACAGUCUCUCAGGCUUUAGUCUUUCUUCAAAGGUUACCUUUUUUUUUUUUUUAAUAAUUUCUUGGGCUGGAGAGAUGGCUCAGCAGUUAAGAGCACUGACUGCUCUGCCAGAGGUCCUGAGUUCAAUUCCCCGCAACCACAGGGUGGCUCACAACCAUCUGUAAUAAGACCUGAUACCUUCUUCCAGUGUGUCUGAAGACAGCUACAGUGUACUCAUGUAAAUAAAAAUAAAUAAAUAAAUAAAUCUUUUAAAAAAAGAAAGAAAUAAAUUCUCGUGCAAUGUAUGGAUGCUUCAUCUGUCAAUAAAAAAGUCUAUGGCCAAUGAGCAGAGACAGGAUUAGAAGGUGGGACAUCCGGCUGAGAGAGAAAGGAUUCUGGGAGAUAGUCAGGCAUGGGAGAUUCACCCCAGACACAGAAUAAGACAGCGCAUGCAACUGAGGACCAGGUAUGACUUAGAAUAGAAUAAAUAGGUAAUUAAGUUAUGAGCUAGCUGGGAACAAGCAAAGCUUUU
rnacentral:lncRNA from 1 species